rnacentral:rRNA from 1 species
GGGGCCCAGUGGCGCACGGGUGCGUAACGCGUAUGCAACCUACCUCGAACUGGGGGAUAGCCUCCCGAAAGGGAGAUUAAUACCGCAUAAUACCAUGUGAGGACAUCCGAGUAUGGUUAAAGAUUUAUCGGUUCGAGAUGGGCAUGCGUGCCAUUAGCUAGUUGGUGGUGUAACGGACCACCAAGGCGACGAUGGCUAGGGGUUCUGAGAGGACGGUCCCCCACACUGGCACUGAGAUACGGGCCAGACUCCUACGGGAGGCAGCAGUAGGGAAUAUUGGGCAAUGGGCGGAAGCCUGACCCAGCCAUGCCGCGUGCAGGAUGAAGGCCUUCUGGGUUGUAAACUGCUUUUACCAGGGAAGAAAACACCCAUGCGUGGGGAACUGACGGUACCUGGGGAAUAAGCACCGGCUAACUCCGUGCCAGCAGCCGCGGUAAUACGGAGGGUGCAAGCGUUGUCCGGAUUUAUUGGGUUUAAAGGGUGCGUAGGCGGCCUUUUAAGUCAGCGGUGAAAGCCCGGGGCUCAACCCCGGAACCGCCGUUGAUACUGGAAGGCUUGAGUACAGACGAGGUAGGCGGAAUUGAGGGUGUAGCGGUGAAAUGCUUAGAUACCCUCAAGAACACCGAUUGCGUAGGCAGCUUACUAGGCUGUGACUGACGCUGAGGCACGAAAGCGUGGGGAGCGAACAGGAUUAGAUACCCUGGUAGU